CAGCUGCGGUGCGCCCCGCCGCCCGCCAGAGGCUCGGCUCGCGCGGCGCGGCCGCUGCGACUUCCUGGAGUUCUGCCUGCCGGGGGCGCGGGCGGGUGUGUGAGAGAGAAGGCGAAGGGAGCCGCGGGGUGGGAGAGGAGGGAGUCCCGGCGGGAGGGCGGGGGAGAGGCUGGCGGGAGGGGGGCUCCACGGAGCUCCAGCCAGGGCCGCGGUUCGCCUGCACGUCACGGCUACUCAAACCCAAGCACGUCCCGAAAGCGGUAUUUUCUGCGUCUGGGAGGUUUUUGCAUCCUCAGUUCCCACCGCUGGGGCUGGCGGCGACCAACUAAGUCCCACUUUAUCAUUAAUGAUGACAAUAACUAAGGCUGCCAGGAACAGCACAUCUGCUGAGCUUUAUCAACACCAGAUUCUCUCAUUUUGCCUUCUGGAUCUCCAUGCUUUUUUAUACCAACAAACAAGAGGAAGAAUAUUCUCUACCCACUUCCUUGACUGAAGCCUGCUCUUUUAUGAAGACAUGGCAUCUCUUCCAACCGUGUCAAACAGAUGCAAUUUAUAUGUCUGCUGCUUCCAUACCCUGAUUAAAUGGGUCAGUGGCAGAAUCAGUAUCCUUAGUCUCCCCUUUGGUUUCAAAUAUGUACUCCUUAUUUCAGUUUCAUGCUCACCUUUCUGUAGAGACCAAGGCAUCUGCCUUUGCAGCUUUACCUCUUCCUCCAGGUUAUAGUUUCCAUUCAUGGAAUCUUUUAGCUGCUGGCUGGCAGUUUUCCUGUCUACCUGACUUCCAUUCCUCUUCUCAUGACUUCAGCUCCCAUGCAGAUGUCUUAUCCUGACAUACUAGCUUCUCCAUUCUAUUUCUGUGUGUGUGUGUCUGUGUGUUUCCCUACUAGUUCAUCCACAUUUC
rnacentral:lncRNA from 1 species